rnacentral:rRNA from 1 species
AUUGAACGCUGGCGGCAGGCCUAACACAUGCAAGUCGAGCGGAUGAAGGGAGCUUGCUCCUGGAUUCAGCGGCGGACGGGUGAGUAAUGCCUAGGAAUCUGCCUGGUAGUGGGGGAUAACGUCCGGAAACGGGCGCUAAUACCGCAUACGUCCUGAGGGGGAAAGGGGGGGAUCUUCGGACCUCACGCUAUCAGAUGAGCCUAUGUCGGAUUAGCUAGUUGGUGGGGUAAAGGCCUACCAAGGCGACGAUCCGUAACUGGUCUGAGAGGAUGAUCAGUCACACUGGAACUGAGACACGGUCCAGACUCCUACGGGAGGCAGCAGUGGGGAAUAUUGGACAAUGGGCGAAAGCCUGAUCCAGCCAUGCCGCGUGUGUGAAGAAGGUCUUCGGAUUGUAAAGCACUUUAAGUUGGGAGGAAGGGCAGUAAGUUAAUACCUUGCUGUUUUGACGUUACCAACAGAAUAAGCACCGGCUAACUUCGUG